rnacentral:rRNA from 1 species
UACGUAGGGGGCAAGCGUUGUCCGGAUUUAUUGGGCGUAAAGAGCUCGUAGGCGGUUUGUUGCGUCGGCUGUGAAAUCCCGAGGCUCAACCUCGGGUCUGCAGUCGAUACGAGCAAACUAGAGUGUUGCAGGGGAAACUGGAAUUCCUGGUGUAGCGGUGAAAUGCGCAGAUAUCAGGAGGAACACCGAUGGCGAAGGCAGGUCUCUGGGCUGACACUGACGCUCAUGCACGAAAGCGUGGGGAGCAAACAGG